rnacentral:rRNA from 1 species
ACGCGACGAACCUUACCAGGGCUUAAAUGUAAGUUGCAUGAUUUAGAGAUAGAUCUUUUUUCGGACUACUUACAAGGUGCUGCAUGGUUGUCGUCAGCUCGUGCCGUGAGGUGUCAGGUUAAGUCCUAUAACGAGCGCAACCCCUGUCGUUAGUUGCCAGCAAGUUAAGUUGGGCACUCUAGCGAGACUGCCAGUGCAAACUGUGAGGAAGGUGGGGAUGACGUCAAAUCAUCACGGCCCUUACGUCCUGGGCUACACACGUGCUACAAUGGUCGGUACAGAGAGCAGCCACUACGCGAGUAGGAGCGAAUC